UACGUAGGGGCCGAGCGUUGUCCGGAGUUACUGGGCGUAAAGCGUGCGCAGGCGGUGAUGUAAGACAGGUGUGAAAUCCCCGGGCUUAACCUGGGAACUGCAUUUGUGACUGCAUCGCUGGAGUGCGGCAGAGGGGGAUGGAAUUCCGCGUGUAGCAGUGAAAUGCGUAGAUAUGCGGAGGAACACCGAUGGCGAAGGCAAUCCCCUGGGCCUGCACUGACGCUCAUGCACGAAAGCGUGGGGAGCAAACAGG
rnacentral:rRNA from 1 species